rnacentral:rRNA from 1 species
GACGAACGCUGGCGGCGUGCUUAACACAUGCAAGUCGAGCGGUAAGGCCCUUUCGGGGGUACACGAGCGGCGAACGGGUGAGUAACACGUGGGUGACCUGCCCUUAGCUCUGGGAUAAGCCUGGGAAACUGGGUCUAAUACCGGAUAUGACUCCAUGACGCAUGUUGUGGGGUGGAAAGCCUUGUGCGGCUAGGGAUGGGCCCGCGGCCUAUCAGCUUGUUGGUGGGGUGAUGGCCACCAAGGCGACGACGGGUAGCCGGCCUGAGAGGGCGACCAGCCACACUGGGGACUGAGACACGGCCCAGACUCCUACGGGAGGCAGCAGUGGGGAAUCUUGCGCAAUGGGCGAAAGCCUGACGCAGCGACGCCGCGUGGAGGAUGACG